rnacentral:rRNA from 1 species
GUAGGUGGCAAGCGUUAUCCGGAAUUAUUGGGCGUAAAGCGCGCGUAGGCGGUUUUUUAAGUCUGAUGUGAAAGCCCACGGCUCAACCGUGGAGGGUCAUUGGAAACUGGAAAACUUGAGUGCAGAAGAGGAAAGUGGAAUUCCAUGUGUAGCGGUGAAAUGCGCAGAGAUAUGGAGGAACACCAGUGGCGAAGGCGACUUUCUGGUCUGUAACUGACGCUGAUGUGCGAAAGCGUGGGGGAUCAGACAGGAUUAGAUACCCUGGUAGUCCACGCCGUAAACGAUGAGUGCUAAGUGUUAGGGGGUUUCCGCCCCCCCCUUAGUGCUGCAGCUAACGCAUUAAGCACUCCGCCUGGGAGUACGACCGCAAGGUUG